GACGAACGCUGGCGGCGUGCUUAACACAUGCAAGUGGAGCGACGAACCGGGCUUCGGCCCGGGGCAAAGCCGCGAACGGGUGAGUAACACGUGGGUAACCUGCCCCGAUGACCGGGACAACCCGAGGAAACUCGGGCUAAUACCGGAUGUGCUCAUCUCUCGUGAGGGAGAUGAGGAAAGGAAGCUUCGGCCUCCGUAUCGGGAUGGGCCCGCGGCGCAUUAGCUUGUUGGUGGGGUAAUGGCCUACCAAGGCGACGAUGCGUAGCUGGUCUGAGAGGACGAUCAGCCACACUGGGACUGAGACACGGCCCAGACUCCUACGGGAGGCAGCAGUGGGGAAUCGUGCGCAAUGCGCGAAAGCGUGACGCAGCAACGCCGCGUGAGGGAAGACGGCCUUCGGGUUGUAAACCUCUUUCAGUUGGGAAAGAAAUGGCUCUGGUUAAUACCUGGGGUCGAUGACGGUACCGGAAGAAUAAGGACCGGCUAACUACGUGCCAGCCGCCGCGGUAA
rnacentral:rRNA from 1 species